rnacentral:rRNA from 1 species
AACGAACGCUGGCGGCAUGCCUAACACAUGCAAGUCGAACGAGACCUUCGGGUCUAGUGGCGCACGGGUGCGUAACGCGUGGGAACCUGCCCUUAGGUUCGGAAUAACUCCCCGAAAGGGGUGCUAAUACCGGAUAAUGUCUUCGGACCAAAGAUUUAUCGCCUUUGGAUGGGCCCGCGUUGGAUUAGCUAGUUGGUAGGGUAAAAGCCUACCAAGGCGACGAUCCAUAGCUGGUCUGAGAGGAUGAUCAGCCACACUGGGACUGAGACACGGCCCAGACUCCUACGGGAGGCAGCAGUGGGGAAUAUUGGACAAUGGGCGAAAGCCUGAUCCAGCAAUGCCGCGUGAGUGAUGAAGGCCUUAGGGUUGUAAAGCUCUUUUACCCGGGAUGAUAAUGACAGUACCGGGAGAAUAAGCGCCGGCUAACUCCAUG